AACGCGAAGAACCUUACCUGGUCUUGACAUCCUCGGAAUCCGCCAGAGAUGGUGGAGUGCCCGCAAGGGAACCGAGAGACAGGUGCUGCAUGGCUGUCGUCAGCUCGUGUCGUGAGAUGUUGGGUUAAGUCCCGCAACGAGCGCAACCCUCGCCUUUAGUUGCCACUCUGUGGAUCUCUAGAGGGACUGCCGGUGUUAAACCGGAGGAAGGUGGGGAUGACGUCAAGUCCUCAUGGCCUUUAUGACCAGGGCUACACACGUGCUACAAUGGCCGGCACAAAGCGCUGCUAACCCGCGAGGGGGAGCCAAUCGCAUAAAACCGGUCUCAGUUCGGAUUGGAGUCUGCAACUCGACUCCAUGAAGUAGGAAUCGCUAGUAAUCGUAGAUCAGCACGCUACGGUGAAUACGUUCCCGGGCCUUGUACACACCGGUAUCUC
rnacentral:rRNA from 1 species